GAUGAACGCUGGCGGCGUGCCUAAUACAUGCAAGUCGAGCGAACGGACGAGAAGCUUGCUUCUCUGAUGUUAGCGGCGGACGGGUGAGUAACACGUGGAUAACCUACCUAUAAGACUGGGAUAACUUCGGGAAACCGGAGCUAAUACCGGAUAAUAUUUUGAACCGCAUGGUUCAAAAGUGAAAGACGGUCUUGCUGUCACUUAUAGAUGGAUCCGCGCUGCAUUAGCUAGUUGGUAAGGUAACGGCUUACCAAGGCAACGAUGCAUAGCCGACCUGAGAGGGUGAUCGGCCACACUGGAACUGAGACACGGUCCAGACUCCUACGGGAGGCAGCAGUAGGGAAUCUUCCGCAACGGGCGAAAGCCUGACGGAGCAACGCCGCGUGAGUGAUGAAGGUCUUCGGAUCGUAAAACUCUGUUAUUAGGGAAGAACAUAUGUGUAAGUAACUGUGCACAUCUUGACGGUACCUAAUCAGAAAGCCACGGCUAACUACGUGCCAGCAGCCGCGGUAAUACGUAGGUGGCAAGCGUUAUCCGGAAUUAUUGGGCGUAAAGCGCGCGUAGGCGGUUUUUUAAGUCUGAUGUGAAAGCCCACGGCUCACCCGUGGAGGGUCAUUGGAAACUGGAAAACUUGAGUGCAGAAGAGGAAAGUGGAAUUCCAUGUGUAGCGGUGAAAUGCGCAGAGAUAUGGAGGAACACCAGUGGCGAAGGCGACUUUCUGGUCUGUAACUGACGCUGAUGUGCGAAAGCGUGGGGAUCAAACAGGAUUAGAUACCCUGGUAGUCCACGCCGUAAACGAUGAGUGCUAAGUGUUAGGGGGUUUCCGCCCCUUAGUGCUGCAGCUAACGCAUUAAGCACUCCGCCUGGGGAGUACGACCGCAAGGUUGAAACUCAAAGGAAUUGACGGGGACCCGCACAAGCGGUGGAGCAUGUGGUUUAAUUCGAAGCAACGCGAAGAACCUUACCAAAUCUUGACAUCCUUUGACAACUCUAGAGAUAGAGCCUUCCCCUUCGGGGGGCAAAGUGACAGGUGGUGCAUGGUUGUCGUCAGCUCGUGUCGUGAGAUGUUGGGUUAAGUCCCGCAACGAGCGCAACCCUUAAGCUUAGUUGCCAUCAUUAAGUUGGGCACUCUAAGUUGACUGCCGGUGACAAACCGGAGGAAGGUGGGGAUGACGUCAAAUCAUCAUGCCCCUUAUGAUUUGGGCUACACACGUGCUACAAUGGACAAUACAAAGGGCAGCGAAACCGCGAGGUCAAGCAAAUCCCAUAAAGUUGUUCUCAGUUCGGAUUGUAGUCUGCAACUCGACUACAUGAAGCUGGAAUCGCUAGUAAUCGUAGAUCAGCAUGCUACGGUGAAUACGUUCCCGGGUCU
rnacentral:rRNA from 1 species